rnacentral:lncRNA from 1 species
CCGGUUGGAGAAUUUUCUUCCCCUUUCACAGCCGCUGCACCACUCCAACCGGCGCUUCAUUUCCUUUCAUUUUCCAGUCGGUUCCCCCAUUUUCUUCUCCUUGGCCAGCCAACAACACAAAACCCCAUUCAUUUUUCCAGCAGCGGCUCCCACUCCAUUUUCCUUCACACAAGCCGCUGCUCCCCUUUCCCCAAGUUUUCCCUUCGGUUUCUUCUUCCCUCUCUACCUCUCCAGCUUUCCCACGGGCCUUCCUUCUCCCUCUCGACAACAGAGCCCCCACACACCCAUCUCCUUCCCACAGCAGCCGACCACCACAUCCGAAGACCAGCCCCUUCACUCUCCCCUAUCGCCGGCAGUUUCGGCCUCCAUCACAGACCGAGCCAGGUCUCCUCUCCGUUUUCUUCCUCAGCGCCCCCGUCAGCUCCAGUGUUGCCGAAGCCAUCGCCAGCAAUCCAAGCCCGGUCGAACAGCCUCCAGCGGCAGCAACCAUCAGACAGCCUCCACACCGUCAGCUAGCAGCGCCGUUCCUGCCCGGCCACGGAUCCACCAUCGGCCAGCAGCACCGUUCCUGCCCGGCCACGGAUCCACCAUCGGCCAGCAGCGCCGCUCGAAGCAGAGGAGAAGGAGAUGAAAUCCAUGAGACAGAGAAGAGAUGAGGCAGGGAAAAGGAGCGGAUCUGAAGAGAAGUGGAGAAGAUCUGGAAAAAUGAAGCCGAUUGAAAAACAAAGAACAAGACUGAAAUCAAUUUGCUUUGUUGCGUUUUUUGGAUUACUUUGCAGGACAACAUCGUUGCAGAAGGGGAGAGGAAGAGAAAUCGUCCCGGAUCUGCCCAUCUCUUGGCUUGUGCCAGCGGUUCACGCGCCGCCAGCAGCGGUGGCGCGUUGGGGAACGCGCUGCCACUGUUCCAUUGGUUCCAGAGGGCUUCCUGACACUGUUCCGGGUUGUUUUGGGUCAUUGUUUUAAUUUUCAAAUUGAUUAAUGUAAUAUUUGUUUAGUUUGAAUUUUUAUUUGUAUGUUGUAAAUUUGGAUGUAACAAAAAAAAAAAAAAAAAAAGAAAAGGAAAAAAUAUAGUGAAAGUGUAUGUGAGUUUGUAUUUUUUUAAUGUAUGUUAUUGAAUCAAAAAAAUGAAUUUAAUAUUUAUACGCACAAAUAUCUAAAGGACAGAUAAAAAUCAUGUUGUAUUUCCCAUGAAAAUGUAGAACAUGUAUCUACAUAUAUUUUGGGAACUAAUAACUGAUUUAUCAAAGCCUUAGAAUUGGGCUAAAAUUUUAUUUUUAAAAACACAUCAAGUCCACGAAGCAGCUUACCUCAGGUAGGGUGCGUUAGGGGUGCUAAUACCUUCCCUAACCACAACCAGUCCCUUACCCGUGAAUCUCUGACGAGACCAGUACAUCAGGUUUCCUAGUAGCCCUCAAUCAAUUACUAGGUGGCGACUCCAACAAACCAAUCAAAUCAAAACGACAAACGAAAAAUCGCCAGCCGAUGCCGCGCGGAUUUUUUUGACGUGCGACAGAAUGGCGACUCCACUGGGGAAGGUAUUGUUUUCAACUUUAUUGGACUAAGCUUUGUGUUUUUGAUGUGUUUAAUUUUUUUUUUGCUUUUUGUCUUUUUUUUUUUAUUCAUGCAUUGUAUAAAAUUGUCUCAUGCAUCACAUGUUUUAUUUUUUGAAAGCACACACAAGCUUCAGGUUAGGUGGGGGACUAGCAGCUUGCCUUAUGACUUGAGUCAAGGUUUAAGUUUGUGUAAACCCCAACUCUUUGCUGAGUGUUUAGACUGAUAGUGAUUGGUACAUGUGCCAUCUCAUUGCCUACAAGCCCCUAUAUUGCCUUCAAGAGGGUAAUCACUGGGACAACGAGAGACCCUUUUUAGAGACCAAGUAGUAAACCUACCUUCUGUCUCACUUAAAAAGAUUAGAACCUACCUUUAGGAUGGGUGCUCCGUAUAUAUUGCUUUGCAUCAGGGCAAACCCUUCUUGAAGCAUCUUGAACUCAAGACUUUUGGGUGACCCAAUGGCCGUCACUCAGAAAAUUUUCAUUGUAGAGUUUGGGCGAGAAUCAAGAUUCUUGUUUCAUCAUACAAGAGUUACGACCAUAUGUCACCCCUCGAAGGGCGAGUUCAUCAUAUAGUUUACAUGUUCAUACAUUUAUCAUACAUGUACCGAAAGGAAAAAUAGGUUCCCCUUUCCGAGGUUUACUCCACUGGACGGAAAAAGAUGGAUAAUAAAGAAAGGGGUUAGAGAGAGGCUCAUUGUCAAAAUGAAGUUGAGAGCAUCAAAGGUGAAGUAGCUAGACUCAGAUCUCCCUGAACAAGUGUUGAGCAUCAAAUGGAAAGAGAAUGUCUGCACGAUCUUCUAUGGGAACACUGUUUGUCCACGUCCGAUGGAAGUUGCACCUCUUUUUUUCAGCCAUUAAUAACCGCAGCAAUGCCCUCAGUCAUCAACUAAUGACAACUUUUGUUCUUGGUCAGUUGCCCUGUUAAUUGUUCAUCACCUCCACAUCUUUCAAUGACACCAAAUAAUUGCUAGCCUUCUGUGCAUGGUGCAUUAGCCUUCUUUGAAGUUACCUCUACUAUGAGCUCAAUUCCAGUUCAGCAGCACAAAAUGUAAAAAACCCAUGAUUAUACACUGAACUUCUAUGUGGCAGAGCUCUCUCUGUAGAGAUUUGUUUGGGGAUCUGCUAGUGGGAAAUGCAAGAGGGGAUGCAGUACUUUCAUACGCUACAAAACUUUGGCUCAUCAGUUUCAGCACUGAAACACUGGAGUAAGCCGAAGAGUCAGACCUAGUCUGAAAACAUGAGCAGUCGUCGAACUUUGACGUGUUAGAGCUCUCUCUACAAAAACCCGUUUAUGGCUCUGCAAGUGGGGAAUGCAAGAGGGGAUGUAGUAGUUUCAAACGAUAUGAAAACUUACCCUACCAGUUUCAGCAUCGAAAAACUGUAGUAGGCAGAAAAGCCAGACUUGAGCUAGAAAACAGGAGCAAAUAUAGAGCUUCACCGUGGCAGAGCUCUCUCCGCAGAAAUCUGUUUGUGGCUCUGUAAGUGGAGAAUCCAAGAAGGGAUGCAGUAGUUUCUGAUCAUCUAUAAUUUUCUCUCAUCGGUGUUAGCUUGAAAAUGCAAAAGUAGGGAAAAGAGAUAAGCCUCAGCUGAAAAUAGAAAGAAGAUUGAAACUUCAACAGAGCAGAGCUCCCUCUACAGGUGUCUGUUUGCUGCACCGUCAGUGAGGAAUCAAAGAGGAGACAAAGGAGUUUUAGAUUCAUCAGGUUCUCUUCCAGUUUUGACAAUGUGUGAUUCCACACGUCGGUAAUGGCGAUGCCACAUGUUUCUGGGCACUGCCAAGAUUACCAAGCUAUUGAAAGGUUUCCAACAACCCUCAACCAACCACAACAACAUUGAAAUAUUGACAUGAAGUUGUGUGGAUUGCCAAAAGAAUUGAGCUAGCUAUCAAGAGAGGAAAGAUUGAAGGAUCUACCAUGGAUUCCAUAACAGUGAUGAGAGUUGAAUCAGAAGAUGACUCUCAAUUGAGAAAACUCAGUCAUUUUGCCUUGCCAUAACAUCAACUGCUCAAAUGUCUUUGCCAAGAUUGACAUUCAUCUGCCGCUCAAGUUGGCUUACCAGCACCUGUCAGGUUCCAAACUUUUUGCCUGACUCCGACAAAUCCCAUGCAACCAUCAUUUUCUAGGUGGUAUAAUUUCCUAAGGGGUAUAAGCCAGGCGAGAUGUGAAAAUCAUUACGGGUUCCUCGGCCAUUUCAAUUGAACAGUUGCAAGAAUUUCAAGAAUCGAGACCGGAUGAUAGUUUCAAGAAUCGAGCUGAGUUUGUGAAAGAUGAUGUCAUCGAUCAUUUUGUCACCAGAACAUCAUCAGAAUAACAAGUGAUCGAAGUUGCUCGGCAAAACACAGAUAUGGCCAGAAAAGCUGAUCCAAGAAUGGUGCUGAACUGUCAAUCAUUUUUGUUAUGGAUUUUGCCAUCUUGCAUUUUGUUUUGAGGUCACAUCUCAUCCUUGAACGAAACAUAUAUUUUCUUUGUCUUUUUGUUGUUUUGAAAUCAAGAGAUGCUUCUUUCAAAGGGUAUUUUGACAAAAAUAAUUUUGUUGAUCAAACUCCAACAUACAAAAUUAAAGCUAGUCAAUCCUGAAGAUUAAAAGUGUUUUGAUUGCGGAAAUGACUUGAUGCUUGAAAAUGACAUGAGGUGACCAAACAAUUUUGAACUCAUACCUCCUGAAACUGAACCACACAUCAUAUAGCUAGUUUUAGCAAUAUGCAUAAUGACACGUAGGGGAUUCAGUAGUUAUGGACUCGUGAAUCAUGACUCUACAGUUCUAAUCAUUACACUAGAUGAUGUCAAAAUUUAUCGGUUCUAACCGACCUUGCUUGAAACGAGAAAAGGCCAUCUUUGUUAUCCUUUCACAUUUCUUGAAAUAUUAUCCCUUGCAGUCCCAUUUUGAGCCUGGUAAAAUAUUUUCUUUCAAGAAGAAACCCUGACUAGGAUCACACCCUACACCUGGGGCAAUGAGAGAUAUGUUAUUAGGAAGGAUGAAGACACUAAUAGAAUCAAUGAUAAAAGAAAGGCUUAGAAUAAAAGCCCAAUGAUUGAGAAAGAGAGAACAAGAAAAGCCAUAGAUUGAGGGCCAUCCAAGAAAUCUUUGAGGAAGGUUAUGUAAAAGCAAAAAAAAGUGGAAAUGAAGGAGAAUGCCUAUCAAUUCUAAGAGGGGCAAAAGAGGUUUCAAUGGAAGAAAGACACAACAAAUGUCAAAAGUCAACACCAAAAAUCAAGUUUCAUGUCUUUUGGUGUGUCUAGGAUAAAGCCUUUAGUGUUUUCAAAAAAAUUUAGAUUCAUCAUUCAUCAGAGAUAAAGUUGGAUUAGCAUUAUGACCUAUGUUAAGAGAAUUCUGAUAUUUGAGAUUAACAAGGUUAUAUAUCACUUUCUCUACUAUGACAACAAGAGAAAGAGAGUUGAUGAAUAGUUGAUGUUGAUCCUAGGUCUUUGAAACCCUGCAACACCUUUUGAGCUUGCGAAAUCCCUUUCUUACAUAGCCAUGAACCAUAGCCUGCAUUACGUGCUUUUAAAAGCCCUUUUUGAUCAAGUAAGCAAUUUGAACCGAUAAAUGGCGCUCUCAAAACUUGAAGAGUUUUUUUUCAUAAGAGUCGUGGCUUCAUGAAUUAAGCUACUGGUUAUUAUGCAUGCUGAUAAAAUUGGUGCUAAAAAAAAACAAUCUUUCUUGAUGAAUCCUCAAGUUUUGACUUGAGCCUUUUGUUUUCCUUGAAAUUCACAGAAGGUCACCUCAUUGCAGACCGUGAAAAGAUAUACACAAGAUCAAAGAUUAAAACUGACAUAAAGAACCAUGAAAAAAGUCAUUUUAAACUUACAAUGGGUCAUUUCUGUUUUCAAAAUACAAGACAAUCAAAGGACUAUAUUGAAUAGUGUGUGUUGGGUCUUUGACCAAAAAGCUUGAUUUUCAAAAGAUCUUUUCCAAAAUUGAUAUCUCUUUGAUUUCAUUUCAACAAUUAGACUCGAAUUGACAUGAUCUUUGAAAUAUGAGAGUUGAUUCCAGAACAAGAAAUAUUGUUAAACAACAAGAACAUCGACCAAAUUUGCAAAAUCCUUGACAAGAAUGACAUCAACAUUUCUCGACACUCCUUAAAAAGUUGACCACCUGGAGGCAAUACAGUGGAUCAUGGGUAGGAAAACAAACAGUAUUUAGAUCAGCUGGGGGCAAUGAAAGAUGAUCAAAUGAUGAAUCAAUGCACUGAGGACAACGGUGUUUAAAGAAAUGCUAAUCAGCAGAACAAGCAUUCAGAUCAUUAUCGGGGGCAAUGUUGUUCAAAAACAUUCCAUGAUCUAGUGAACUCUAGCAGCAAUUGAAAACAACGCUGCAAUUGAGGGACAACCUCGUAUCUUCAUCUUGGGGUUACCCUUUGAAACAUGGCUAUGACAAAUGUUAUCGCAUCGUUGCAUUGGAAUGAAUGUCAGAAAGAUGCACACCACCAAGACUGACUGUGGGACCAUCUAUUCUGAAGCUCAAAUGUGCAAUUCACCGUAUGAAUAUGGGUGAUAACAUGAACAUCAUUGAUGAUGUCGAGACAUUUCUUUCCACUAUCUGAUUUGACAAGCUGAGAGGAAUCCAUGAGAAAGAACAUUGAGCAUACAACGAUGAGUCUUUCACUGCAAGCUAUGAGAUGCAUGUCUGGACGACUGGAUGAUUUCAAUGAAGACUGAUGAUAACAUAUACUUGAAGAGUAUUGUUUCAACUGGGGGCAAGUUCAUGACUGAUUGACCAUCUUGAUGGGUGUUGGCAUGAUGCACACAACCAAUCAGAAGAUAAUUUUCAGAAGAAUCCAGGAGAGAAAAUCCUUCAUGAUGAAUCAAGCAACACCACACUUGGGGGCAGAGUCAAGCUUGAUAAAUAACGAGAGCAGUAAUCGUCGUAGACAGCCCGAGAUGGGCACUGCACUUACAUUUGAGUGGAAGGCUAGCACACGAAUGAGCCAGUACAUGGGAAGAACAAAGAAGGCUUUGGUUAGCAAACAAAGGCACCCUAUAACGAUGGAUCAUCAAAGGGGGGGACCUAUAUUUCACAUCAGGUAAGGAUGCAUGCAUGUCAUCUAACCUCAAAGCAUUGCACAUACUUGUGAUUUGUUACAGAAAGAUCCUCAAUGAAGUCCAGCAAGGUUGUGGACAAAGAAAGAAUCAUUGAGUUGAUGAUGACAAAGAAUCGGUUUAGAUCCUGGAACAAGAAGAGAAUGAGAUGAACCCUGCCAGUAGGAGAAUCUCAAAGAAACGAGGAGAUUAACCCCGUCAUCAAGGAGUCUUCAAGUCAACCUGCAACCAGAAGGUGCCAAGUUUCUCAACCUUGUCCUGUCAGGACUGCUCCAACCAAGUCUUUUUGUCAGGUAAGUCACAUUCUAUCUUUGGGUAGGUCACCCGUAACAAUGAGACCAUUUUUUUGAAAAAAAAAACAUCAUUUUUCUGGGUAGGUCACCCAUCACAAUGAGACCACCAUCUUCCAUUUGGGUAGGUCACCCAUUAUAACGCGACCACUUCACAUUUUUUUUUUCUAUCUUCCACCUGGGUAGGUCACCUAUUAUAACGCGACCACUUCACAUUUUUUCUAUCUUCCACCUGGGUAGGUCACCCAUUAUAAUGAGACCGCAUUUCACAUUCUUUCCACCUGGGUAGGUCACCCAUAACAAUGAGACCACUUCAUAUUUUUCUCAUCUUCCAUUUGGGUAGGUCACCCAUAACAAUGAGACCACUUCAUAUUUUUUCUAUCCUCCACCUGGGUAGGUCACCCAUUAUAACGCGGCCACGUCAUAUUUUUUCUAUCCUCCACCUGGGUAGGUCACCCAUUAUAACGCGGCCACGUCAUAUUUUUUCUAUCCUCCACCUGGGUAGGUCACCCAUUAUAACGCGACCACUUCAUAUUUUUUCUAUCUUCCAUCUGGGUAGGUCACCCAUUAUAAUGAGACCGCACUUCACAUUCUUUCCAUUUGGGUAGGUCACCCAUCAUAAUGAGACCGUUUUUCACAUAUUUUCCACUUGGGUAGGUCACCCAUCAUAAUGAGACCAUCAUUUUUUUUCCUGGGUAGGUCACCCAUUAGAAUGAGACCAUUCUCCAUCUUUUUUACUUGGGUAGGUCACCCAUUAUAACGAGGCCAUUCUUCCCCCUGGGUAGGUCACCCAUAAGAAUGAGACCACUCUUCCCCUUUUCCACUUGGGUAGGUCACCCAUCACAAUGAGACCAUUUUUUCUGGGUAGGUCACCCAUUAGAAUGAGACCAUUCUCCAUCUUUUUUUUUACUUGGGUAGGUCACCCAUUAUAAUGAGGCCAUUCUUCCCCCUGGGUAGGUCACCCAUAAGAAUGAGACCACUCUUCCCCUUUUCCACUUGGGUAGGUCACCCAUGACAAUGAGACCAUUUUUUCUGGGUAGGUCACCCAUUAGAAUGAGACCAUUCUCCAUCUUUUUUAUUACUUGGGUAGGUCACCCAUUAUAAUGAGGCCAUUCUUCCCCUGGGUAGGUCACCCAUAAGAAUGAGACCACUCUUCCCUUCUUUCCAUUUGGGUAGGUCACCCAUCAUAAUGAGACCGUUUUUCACAUUCUUUCUACCAGGGUAGGUCACCCAUUACAAUGAGACCACUUUUUACACAUUUUUUAGUCUUGAUUUAAUGAGGUCGCCAGAUGGGAUCUCAUGUAACUUUGGUUAAAGGGAAUCGCCAGAUGAGAUUUCAGGUUGACCGAGUUACACACUUAUUCUUUGUUUUGGUUUAAUGAGGUCGCCAGAUGGGAUCUCAUGUAGCUUUGGUUAAAGGAAAUCGCCAGAUGGGAUUUCAGGUUGACCGAGUUACGCAUAUUCUUUGUUUUGAUUUAAUGAGGUCGCCAGAUGGGAUCUCAUGUAGCUUUGGUUAAAGGGAAUCGCCAGAUGGGAUUUCAGGUUGACCGAGUUACACACUUAUUCUUUGUUUUGGUUUAAUGAGGUCGCCAGAUGGGAUCUCAUGUAGCUUUGGUUAAAGGGAAUCGCCAGAUGGGAUUUCAGGUUGACCGAGCUACACACAUUCUUUGGUUUUGAAAAAGGAGAUCGCCAAAUGGGAUCUCAAGUUAACGAAAGAAAGAAAGAAAGAAAGAAGAGGAAAAAAAAAAGAAACAUUUAGAGUUUUUCUUUACAAAGCUUACUAUGCGAAACAUUGAGGAGUUUUGCUUCGUAAGCAUUGUAAAGAGGGGGCAUCUGUUGCUACUCAAUUUUUGACCCAUGUUUUGAUAAAUUUUCAAAAAAAUCCAAAAAUAGCGAAAAACAUUGAAAAUCCAAAAAAAAUACAUUUUUAAUACAUUUGCAUCGUUUUUAGCAUUUUUAGCAUCGUCUCAAAAGAAUUUAAAUUUUCAAAGACAUUUGGAACGCGUUCAACUUUUAACGUGUUAUUUUUAAAAUCAUUGAUUUUCUUCAUUGAGUCGACGUUGAUAUUGCUCGCUUUCAAAAAUACAAAAAAAUAAGAAAAAUCAAAAUUUAUAAAAAAAAAAGAGGAAAAGAGAAGAAAGGAAAGGUUGAGGGACUAGUUUGAAAACCUAGCAAAAUUUUUCCUAUAAAUACCAUGCUAUACUGAUUUUGUGAGAGGGGGGCAAUUUUGACAAUAUCAGGAAAAAAUACAAAAAAUACCUAACCCUAAACCCAUCUUUUUCUCUAGAGCCGCCGCCCCCCCCGGUUGGAGAAUUUUCUUCCCCUUUCACAGCCGCUGCACCACUCCAACCGGCGCUUCAUUUCCUUUCAUUUUCCAGUCGGUUCCCCCAUUUUCUUCUCCUUGGCCAGCCAACAACACAAAACCCCAUUCAUUUUUCCAGCAGCGGCUCCCACUCCAUUUUCCUUCACACAAGCCGCUGCUCCCCUUUCCCCAAGUUUUCCCUUCGGUUUCUUCUUCCCUCUCUGCCUCUCCAGCUUUCCCACGGGCCUUCCUUCUCCCUCUCGACAACAGAGCCCCCACACACCCAUCUCCUUCCCACAGCAGCCGACCACCACAUCCGAAGACCAGCCCCUUCACUCUCCCCUAUCGCCGGCAGUUUCGGCCUCCAUCACAGACCGAGCCAGGUCUCCUCUCCGUUUUCUUCCUCAGCGCCCCCGUCAGCUCCAGUGUUGCCGAAGCCAUCGCCAGCAAUCCAAGCCCGGUCGAACAGCCUCCAGCGGCAGCAACCAUCAGACAGCCUCCACACCGUCAGCUAGCAGCGCCGUUCCUGCCCGGCCACGGAUCCACCAUCGGCCAGCAGCGCCGCCCAAAGCAGAGGAGAAGGAGACGAAAUCCAUGAGACAGAGAAGAGAUGAGGCAGGGAAAAGGAGCGGAUCUGAAGAGAAGUGGAGAAGAUCUGGAAAAAUGAAGCCGAUUGAAAAACAAAGAACAAGACUGAAAUCAAUUUGCUUUGUUGCGUUUUUUGGAUUACUUUGCAGGACAACAUCGUUGCAGAAGGGGAGAGGAAGAGAAAUCGUCCCGGAUCUGCCCAUCUCUUGGCUUGUGCCAGCGGUUCACGCGCCGCCAGCAGCGGUGGCGCGUUGGGGAACGCGCCGCCACUGUUCCAGUGGUUCCAGAGGGCUUCCUGACACUGUUUCGGGUUGUUUUGGGUCAUUGUUUUAAUUUUCAAAUUGAUUAAUAUAAUAUUUGUUUAGUUUGAAUUUUUAUUUGUAUGUUGUAAAUUUGGAUGUAACAAAAAAAAAAAAAAAAAAAAAAGAAAAGGAAAAAAUAUAGUGAAAGUGUAUGUGAGUUUGUAUUUUUUUAAUGUAUGUUAUUGAAUCAAAAAAAUGAAUUUAAUAUUUAUACGCACAAAUAUCUAAAGGACAGAUAAAAAUCAUGUUGUAUUUCCCAUGAAAAUGUAGAACAUGUAUCUACAUAUAUUUUGGGAACUAAUAACUGAUUUAUCAAAGCCUUAGAAUUGGGCUAAAAUUUUAUUUUUAAAAACACAUCAAGUCCACGAAGCAGCUUACCUCAGGUAGGGUGCGUUAGGGGUGCUAAUACCUUCCCUAACCACAACCAGUACCUUACCCGUGAAUCUCUGACGAGACCAGUAUAUCAGGUUUCCUAGUAGCCCUCAAUCAAUUACUAGGUGGCGACUCCAACAAAC